AUGCUUGGAAAGAGCCUUUUCAAUCAUUUUAUUGGUUCAUCUGUCUCUAGUAAGGCACAAGCCAAUUUCCCUCUAUUUGUAAACUUACCAUCAAGAUGGAAACCGGGACGGAUUCUCCUUCGUCGGAUGUUGGUAGACGAUGUCAAAAUCAGAGCAUGUCAUACUAUGCCUCUGAUGCGUCGGACAUUACCAAACGAACAACGGAGGCUUGGCCAGUUCACGAACCCAUGGCGUCCACCCCUCGUCGAGUCCCGUUCCUUCGCCGGCAUCAUGGGUCAGGCAUCAACGACAGUCCCCCAUUGCUGUUGA
rnacentral:rRNA from 1 species